UACGUAGGGGGCUAGCGUUGUCCGGAUUUAUUGGGCGUAAAGAGCGUGUAGGCGGCCAGGUAGGUCUGCUGUGAAAACUCGAGGCUCAACCUCGAGACGUCGGCGGAAACCAUCUGGCUAGGAGUCCGGAAGAGGAGAGUGGAAUUCCUGGUGUAGCGGUGAAAUGCGCAGAUAUCAGGAAGAACACCUAUGGCGAAGGCAGCUCUCUGGGACGGUACUGACGCUGAGACGCGAAAGCGUGGGGAGCGAACAGG
rnacentral:rRNA from 1 species